CAUCCUGUUAUUAAGCUUUUUGUAAUUUAAAUUAUUAUUCAUUAAUUAAUAAAUAACAGCUAUUAUUUGUAAAUCAAAAAUUAAUUUUAUUUUAGCAUAUAUCAUAAUCUGACAUAUCAAAAGGAUUUAAAAAAUGUAAUGCAAUUCUAUCUAGAAAAAUAGUUUGGCAGAUUUUUUAAUAAAUAUGUUUUUUACAUAGUUAAAUUAUAGAAGAAAGAUUUGGAUUUAAAAUAAAUGUUUUUGUUAUGUGAGUAGAUAAAAAUUAUUUUUUUUUAAAUAAUUUGGUUCUUUUUUAAUGUACAAUAUUCUAAUUUCAAGUAUUGAAAUUAUAAUCAUUAAUUCUUGCAUUGGAUAAUAUUUUUCUAGAAACAUGAAUAACAUGUGUGACUAUUUGGCUCAUGUUUCAGAAAAAUAUAAUAUAUAAAUUUGAUCAGUUUUCAAAUGCGAACAAAGAUGUUUGUGAAAAAGGGAGACUGUAAAUCUAUCCUUAGUUUAUAAUUUAAGUAACACAUUAAAGACAUUUUUUAAUCUAUUAAAAUUGAAUAACAUAUGAAUUCAGAAUUUAUAAUUUUUAUAUAAUGAUUGUCUACUAGUUUCAUUUUAAUAGUAGAUAGUUAUGUAUUUAUCUAAUAACAAUUAACAAUAACACUAUAACAGUAUAUUAUAAUCAAUAAGUUUAAAUUAAAAUCUUUAAUUAAUAUGUUGAGCCCACUACAAAAUAAUGGUUCUAGGUCAUCGUUCAUUUAUAUAGGUUGGUUUUUAUACCUUAAUAUUUCUAGUAAUACUUUGUAACUUGUCCAACAAUAUUUAUUUUUAAAUAGUUUUAGUUAGACAAAAAUGUACUAAUUUGUAGUUUUGAAACUUCUACUUGUAAUUAAAUUAUGGAAUACAAUUUUUAUUAUCUACAUUGAUCAGAUAUUGGAUAACAGUUUAUUAAUUGUAACUACUGUUUAAUGGGGUACCUAUAGGACAAACAUUUAUCGUUCAUUUUUAGAUAAUCUAAUAAUCUUUAAAUAAUUUAAAUACAAAUAAACCAUAAGUGCCCCUCCUUGUCUCCUCAAUCAUAUUGUCUAUUUGUGUAAGCAAUCUUGCGUGUACAUAGUAAAUUACAAUAUGAAUAUUACAACUUUAAAAGUUGCUAUUAGAAUAUCAUGAAUCGAAUUUUUUUUUUUACUGAUUAGGAGAGGGGGAUCAAAAUAUUACAAGUUAGUAUUCAGUUGAAAAAAAGAUGGCUGUUCGACGUUUAGAAAAUUGUUGCGUCGACAUUUUUGGCAUUUUCGCGCUUCUAUUCAUUGCCUCAUUGGUCAUCCAGUUCAUAAUGAUUAUAAUUUAUAAUAUACACACGAGCGCACAGGCGGCUGAGAGAUCGUCUUACCGGGCAGUACUCUGCAGUCUGCAGGUAAUAAACAAAUGUACAUCUAUUUAAUUAACAUCGCCGCUAAUGUCCUAAAAGUUCUAUCUAAAUAUAGGGUUGCCAUUUAAAUAAACUUAAAAACCGAGUCAUUACAAUAUCAGACAGUGUAGACAUAAAUUUACAAUUUAUGUUUAUAAUAAUAACAAAACUGUUUGAAAUCGACUGCCAUUUCUUUUUAGAUUCUUUGCCAUUACUAUUCUUCAUUUAAAGCCAUUUUAAAAUUUAAUUUUAUAAAACAAAUGUAGUGUUUUAUAUUUUAUCAAUUUAUUUUAUAUUUGUUUAAUAAAGAAACCCAUAAUAAUAAAUGUAGUUUUGGUAUAAUAUGUUGAUUUGAAGCAGUCCCAUCUGUUUAUAAUUUAUACAAAAGUUAUAAAAUAUGGUACGUACAAAUUUCUUUAGUUUUUUCACCUUGUUCUUCUUGCAUUAUCAUUUGGAAAAAAAAUAUCUUGUUCCAUAACCAAUAUUAUGACUGCGCCCAAUACAAUUUAUAAUAAUAAUUACUAACUUUAACAAGGUAUAUUAAAACAAUCUUAGUAUGAAUUUUUCUGAAAAAUUAAAAUUAUCGUAAAAAAUAAACGAGAGAAUAAAAAGUUCUUACUUCUUAUUAGGUACCUUUAAAUUUGAUUUUAGAUUACUUCAUUCUAAUAUUAGCUACUAAUACAAAAUUGGUUCUUUUGAACGUAAAUUUGCUAUGUUGUAUAUUUGUAAGUCAAAGACAACACACGUGUCACAUGUGGACCGGUGUCUUCUUAAGAUUGCUUUAAUAUUGGUAUAUAUUGGACAUUGGUAAUUAGCACUAGGUAUAGAUUUUCGAGGUACCUAUACAAUUUUAAUUUCAUGUGGGUGUACGUUAAUAAAAUAAAAUUAAAAUAUUCGUUAAAAUAGUAUAUAAAAAAUAACAUGUAUAAAUUAUGUACAUAUGUGUAUAAUUAUUAAUUGGCAUAUUAAAAAUUCAUUAAUUUCGUUACUUUUCGUUAUUGAUGAGUUUGGGAGUGAAUAUUAUAGUAGUAACGUACCUAGUACGACAAUGAUGUUGAGUGAUACUAUAAGGAUUUUUAAAACGGAUUGAAUCUAUCGCAAAGGUUGCUUGACAAAAAGUAUUCUCUGCGAUAUCGAUUUUUGAUUCUUUUCUUUUAAACACCUAUUCAAUUUUUUUGAGAAACAUUCAAACAUGAAGUAAAAAAACCUGGGAAAUGGAAAUUUUUGUUCACAUUACGCGGUGAAUUAAAAUUUUUUUUUAUAGUACUCAUUGUUGUAUCGUCAGACCCUUAACUGUAACAUUGGUAAGAGAACGCCAAUAUCGCAUAUUAUGUCGUCUUCGUCUUACAAAUGUACAAUUUAUUUUCAUCAGUUUCAAUUUUGUGCAAUUAUCUUAAAUAAUAAUGGAGUGAAUUAACUUAUCAAACCUAUUAUUAAAUUAUUCAAAUUUAAAGGUAAUAAUAUUAUUAUAAAUUUAAAGGUUUUUCACGAUCUUAUAAUUUUUAAAUUGUCAUAUUUUACAUAGGUACUUAUAACUUACUUAAAAAUUAAAAUAUCCUAAAAAACAUAAUUCUUACCUUCAAGUUCGAUAAUAAGCCAAUGUAUUCUAUUACUACACAAAAUUAAAACUGCUAAAUACAAAUUUGGUAUGUUGUAUUUUUGUAAGACGGGACAACACAUGUUAUAGUGCGGCGCGUUCUUAAGAAAUCCCCGAUUUUGAUUAAUGUUGGCUUAAUGCCGAAACCUGGGUAUACCUUCCUUACAGACGUUGUGGCGUGAAAGCAAGCAUCGGAUCAAAUGUUCGGCCAGUGGAAGUCACUGCAGUUUUGUGUUCAAAUAACCUCGAUAAUCACAACUAAUGGAUGGACAAGCAUGGCUCUUAGCCAAAAAAAUCAAGGGAAAUAAAAAGAAAAAAAUGUAUAUUUUACCCACAAUGAACCCAAAUUUCAAAAAAAUAAAAAAAUAAUUUAUGUUCCCAAGAAUAGUUAUGGUAGGUAGGUUUAGUACUUAAUAAAUAUAAUAUCUAGAUUCAUAUUAAUAUAAGCCAUACAUUAACACACUAGAUAAUUUAACUGCUAAAAUAUCGAAUUUUACAGAGGUAUUGUAAUAUUCUAAAUCAUAUUUGACGUAUAGGCAUUUUAAAAUUACAAAUUACUGCUGCGUAGUGCUGCGUACACAUAAUCAAAAAUUACAAACCAUAAUAUAGAAAAUAGGUAUAUGUACCUAACUAACAUAUCCGCAUACUUAUAAAUACGUGUUGUUUUAUUCUACUCUGGGAAAUUUGAAUUAAAUAGAUAAUUCCCGUGUAAUGUAAUUGUUUUCAGGAAUAGUUUUUUGGUAUGUUUUAUAUGAGAUUUGAAAAAAAAUUUUUAUAAUUUAACCAAUAAAAAAGACAUAUACGCCACUGCCCACUGUACAAUGAUUUAUUAAGUCCAUUUAAAAGUAGCACGUAUGGUUUACUUAUCUGCGACUGUGAAAAUGGAUCUUAAAGGCGCAUAAUAUAUUACAUUUUUAUAUAAUAUAAUAAAUAUGACAAUUUUUAAAUUGAAAUUAAAUUGUUUUUGAGAUAUGUAUUUUUAUUUUAUUGAUUAUAAUUAAUUCUAUAUUUUGCUCAAAGACAUUUUUAACGCU